GACGAACGCUGGCGGCGUGCCUAACACAUGCAAGUCAACUUGACUGAAGGAGCAAUCUGACAGUAGAGUGGCGCAAGGGUGCGUAACGCGUAAGUAACUUGCCCCAAGGUAAGGAAUAACGUCGAGAAAUCGGCGCUAAUACCUCAUAAUGCAGCGGAUCCGCAUGGAUAUGUUGUUAAAGGUUUACCGCCUUGGGAUAGGCUUGCGUCUGAUUAGCUAGUUGGUGUGGUAACGGCACACCAAGGCUACGAUCAGUAACUGGUCUGAGAGGAUGAUCAGUCACACUGGAACUGAGACACGGUCCAGACUCCUACGGGAGGCAGCAGUGAGGAAUAUUGGGCAAUGCUCGAAAGAGUGACCCAGCAACGCCGCGUGGAGGAUGAAGGUAUUCUAUAUCGUAAACUCCUGUGAGAGCAGACGAAAGACAGAUUAUUAAUCUGGAUGACUGUAUGCUCAGAGGAAGCCCCGGACUAACUACG
rnacentral:rRNA from 1 species